rnacentral:rRNA from 1 species
GAUGAACGCUGGCGGCGUGCCUAACACAUGCAAGUCGAACGAAGCGCCAUGACGGAUCCCUCCGGGGUGAAGAUGUGGUGACUGAGUGGCGGACGGGUGAGUAACGCGUGGGUAACCUGCCCUGUACAGGGGGAUAACAGCUGGAAACGGCUGCUAAUACCGCAUAAGCGCACAGGAAGACAUCUUCCAGUGUGAAAAACUCCGGUGGUACAGGAUGGGCCCGCGUCUGAUUAGCUUGUUGGCGGGGUAACGGCCCACCAAGGCGACGAUCAGUAGCCGGUCUGAGAGGAUGAACGGCCACAUUGGAACUGAGACACGGGUCCAAACUCCUACGGGAGGCAGCAGUGGGGAAUAUUGCACAAUGGGGGAAACCCUGAUGCAACAACGCCGCGUGAGUGAAGAAGUAUUUC